CGCCCACUCCCAUACUGACUUAGAUUUCCCUGCCACAAACCCACCACGAGCCCCUCGCUGGCCCUUGGAAGGGGCCCACCCAAGCGAGGAGCCCAUCGGAUUCAGGGGAAACCCUGCCCCCACUAUAGGUCAAGGUCAUAGCCCUGGGGGUUUUGCAAUUUGAAUCCCAGGUUUGCUGAGCUGGCUUAGAAAUCCAGUGAAGAGAAAAAACAAAUAUGUAAGUGAAAAUCCGCUUUAUUCCCCAAACCUCCAAGGGCCUGGCCCUCCACCGAGCUUUGCCUCUGGUGGUCAGCUCCCCUCACCCAAGCCUGAGCUCCUACUCAGCUCAGGGUCCUGUCCGUGCUGGCGUCGUGGGAGCAGCUGGACGAGACUUGGCUUGUCCUAAGAUGAAACCCUUCCCCCGCCUGUGGGUUUUUCCUCCGAAAUCCUUCCUUGUUCCACCUGACUUUAUCUGCUGCGCACACACCCUUCCCUACCAGCAGCGACUGCGAUAAAAGCCAGUCACAUCCUGUGGGGACUCAAGGCCUCUGGGUGGCCAGAAACAUAGCUCCUUCCACCUGGCGCCUGGGGCCCUGAAAGCCAGUCCCUACAAUGGUUCUCAAGGGGCUUCUCUGUCAUUCUGCCGAGAGGCAGAGGUCCAGGGUGGCCGUCCCUCAGCAUCCCCUCCUCCCUGAGAAUGGACACAGAGACCCACACUAGAGUCCCAGCUUAUUAAUAGGAGCUUGGUAGCUUCUGGAAUGGCAGACCGCUGGGCUGUCCAACCUGGGGUCUCUGCCAGCCGCUCUGAAUCGAGGCUCCUGUUCGCAGGCAGAUGGUGCUGACUGCCCUCCUGGAGCUCAGGCAGGUCCAAGGACGUGCGAGAGCAGAUCCGGACUUUCAAUGUGGUGGUGCUGGCCCUGGGGAACCGGGUCCCGUGCAGCCAGACUCCCAACCUGUUGUCAGAUAAAUCAUUGCCUCUGUCUGGGGUGGAGGGAAUGAGGGGCUGAGAAGCCAAGCCAAAGGGGGUCCCCCAAGACUUUGUGAGAAGGGAGGGCGGUGGGAAUCUUCUCGCCUUCGGCUGAGGCACCACCCGCACCUCCCCACCCCUGACCCACGGGGCUCUCUCUCAGUCACUCCCAUCCUGGCCUAUGACACUCCCGCUGACCCUUCAAGAGUCUGCCAGGGUACCGCCUCCUCUGGGAAGCCUUCCCCGCUUCCAGGCUGGUUCUCUGGUCUGGCCCCUCUCUGUUCUUACACACUCCUCUGGGCUUCCGGUGGCUCGUUCCGUGUAGUUCCCAUUUAUUUUAUUUCUUCUUUCACAGCCUUUUCCAGUUUAUGUUCUCUUGCUGUGUUUUAUGCAUCCACACCAAGCCGCCUCCAGUCCCAUCUGGAGGAGGUGGGAUGGGGUCGGGUGCUGCUGCCCUCUGACCACUGGGCUGCGGAUGAGACGUCUAGAGCCCUGUCCUUGGACAGACGGUAGAUCUCAGGAUUGGCUCUCUGGGCUCCGCGCGGCCCCACACGGCCCCGACCCCUCUGGGGCUUGUUGGGGACGUCUGAGGAGGCAGGGAGGACCAGCUGCCUAAACAAGGCAGAUGCUGUGAGCAGACGUGACCUGCAUGGAAUGUUCUCCAUCAGAGUUUCUUGCUUUGGAGUAACACCCGGCGGGGCACCCUCCAGUCCAGUGCCGUCCGUUUCACGCAGCCUCCCGUCCUCGGUGGCAAAUCUUCCCAGUCGUCUUUGCGAUCUUGGCUUCCCACCUUCCACAGGCAACCAUUUGACACACACACACACACACACACACCUGUGCUGAACAAGUACAAAUAUCCGGGCUUAGAGGACUUUGAGCCCAUUCCUUCAUUUGACAACCAUUUAUCGGGUGUGCUCCCAUGUGUUGAGGAUAUGGCAGGGGACCGAAAGGGAAAAUCCUGCUCUUGUGGGGCUUAUAUUUUAGUGGGGAGACAUGCUACAUACUAAGUGAAGGGGCAAACCGUAUAGCAGGGGGGACAAUAGUAAGUGAUAGAGAUCAACCACAGCAGCGAAGGGGGUCGGGGUGCUGGGCGCGGGGCUGAAAUUUUAGCAGGGGACACCAAGGAAGGCCUGGGGACGUGAGGGAGGUGAGGGGUGAGCCACGCAGGGGUCGGGAGGAGUGUCCCAGGAAGGGAGCGGAGCCGCUGCAGAGAGCAGGGGAGGGAGGGACCCGGAGUUGGAGGGGCAAGCAGGAGGCCAGCGUGGCGGGAGAGAGAGGAGACAGGUGGAUGGGGACAGGAAGAGGUGAGGCCUUGGGGGCCCUGGCAUGGACUUCAGCUGUGACUCCGAGGGUAAUGCCGGCCCCUGGAGGGUUUAGAGCAGAGUCAAGACGUGGUCUGCCUUGCGUUUUAAGGGGAUCCCCUGUUGGCUGUAAGGAGCCCAGGACUGAGCGGGGAGAGGCUGGAAGCCUGGGGACCCGUUAGGAGGACCCUACAAUCCUCUGGUGAGAGGUGACUGUGACGAGGACCGGGUGGCGGCAGCAAGGUGGUGGAAAUGACAGAUCUUCACAGCAGAGCCGACAGAAUUGGCCGACUGGUUGGAUGUGGGGUGCAAAGGAGGAGAGGG
rnacentral:lncRNA from 1 species